UCUUCUUAUUGAUGGUGUCUUGGCACAUCCUGAUGAACUAUUUCGGUUAAAAACCAUAGGGGCCAAGGCAGAUGUAUUUCACAUACUUUCCAGAACAUGGAAGACACCUGCAGAAAGAUGCUUCAUGUGGCUAGGCUUAUGUGCAACAAUUAGAGUCAAGUAGAUUAAAGCUUACACAACUUGAACAAGACCUUUAAAGGGCUCGUUCUCAGGGACUAUUCAUGGAUUGUGGUGGUGUUGGAGGCAAUCUAAGCUCUGGUGAGUUUUUACCAAUUCUAAUUUCUUUGAAAAAAAAUAAUGUUGAAGUGCAAUUUCAUGUUAUAAUAAUUUUUUAAAAUG